GGAUGUGAGGGCGAUCUGGCUGUGAUGUCUGUCUAGUCGGGUUUCCCCUUCAUCCCUCAUUGCUCCAUGUGUGUCCCUCCAGAAGCUGUGCACUUGGUCAAAGAGGACAGCCUUCCCCAAAUAGAGAGAAUAGACAGACCUAUACAAGUAGCUGUGCUCCCCUGCUAGAACCUCCAAACAAGCUCUCAAGAAAUGUGGAGUUACUAAACUAUCUCUAUGGAAAUAUUUAACAUUUCCAGAGGAAUUGGUU
rnacentral:snRNA from 1 species